AAGAAACGCGACAAAUUCCCCUGAAAUCGCACAAUUCUCAGAACCCCCAACAACCCAGCGAAAAAUAGACGCGAUCUCUCCCCCCAUCGCAUCUCUCCCCACGCUCUCUCACUCUCUCCUCCGCGAUCUCUCACCCGCGUCUUUCUCCCCACGCUCUUCUCCCUUCCACCCUCCUCUUCGCAUGAACAAGACGGAAGCGCAGAGACCCAUACCUGCCCCUGUCAAGCAGGUCUGCGAAACGUCGCAAUCAUCCUCGCCGGCACGCGAUUGCCAUGUGAGGUUUGACUCAAAGUGAAUUUGAAAUUUUUUGAAUUCAAGAAGGGGCUAAUUCUUCUCCUCUAUAAAUACCCCAUUUCUUCGUCAGAGAAGGGGGGAGAUUUUCAUCGAAAAAUUCGGAAAAAAAAGCAGAAUUUGGGUUGGAUAUUUUUGGAAAUUUAGUCGAAAGUUUAAGUUGAAUCGUUGGUUGAAACUUUGUUAACAUUUUAGCAUAAGAACAGUCCAGUUCUUCAGCUUUCCUUACGCACUUCGGAAGAGUUGAUCGAUCCAUCGGCUUCCUUCCCUCGCUUGGGUGUUCGAGUUGUCAUUCGUGGCAGAAGCAGUUCGCACCUGCUCGUAGCGUCUCAAUUCGCUGCUCGUCGACAGGAAGUUCCUCAACUGGUACAUCAACUAAGGUAGUGGACUGGAGUGUAGUAUUGUUAAGUUGAUGGUCAACUGGUACAUCAACUAAAGUUGUUGUUUGAUGAUGAUCAUUGGUUGCACCUGUAAGAGCAACAUGUUCCUCACUGUUGUUGGCAGAUUCAAAAUCUACAGCUGGACUUUCAAUAUUACUAUAUGGAUCAUCGACCUCAACCUGUUUCUUAGUAUUUGAUUUUGCGCCUAAGAGGUCAAUAAUACUCUCAUCAUCAAUGAGUACAUGAGGUGUAGCAGCAUUAUAACUAGUAAUAUGUGGGCUAACAGUCUGUACUUUUCCUAAAUCAUAAUUAUCAUGUGCCUAAAGUCUAGAGAAAGAUUCAACAAAAGUAGCAAGGUGAGGUGAGACAUCAAUGUUAGUCUGAGAAUAUUUUUGAGACACAUAGGGUAAUGUGUUUUCAUCAACCAAAACAUGUCUAAAUAUGUAAACUCUCCUUGUAGAGGAAUGAUAGCAUUUAUAUCCUUUGUGUAAGCUGUUGUACCCAAUGAACUCACAAGGAUAGGUCUUAGGACUAAACUUAUUGUUACCCUUGAUAUAUGAAAAACAUCUAUACCCGAACACUUUUAGACUGUUGUAA